ACGUUGACAACCGUAACCAUGGUCGCCGAGGGUAUAUAAAUGCUGCACAAGGUUCCAAACGUCCGUUUACACUUGCUCGUGGACUUGUUUCGACCUGCUCCAACCUCAGCCUGUGGAAAGCUAAGUUUUGCAAAACAUUUUACUAAAAGCGGAUUUAAUUUGAGAGCACAAGUACUUCAUCUGUGGAUCGUUUGUACUUGUUUUUGUUUUUCAAGUUUGAAGAUGGCUCGCCGUGGACCCGGACUCCCCGACUGUCACCUGGACUUCGCUGCAGUGCUGCUGUCUCCGGUCACCCUGCAUGUUUCUAAGGUACAGUGUUCAGCAGUCUGAUGGCCUGAU